rnacentral:tRNA from 1 species
GAUGGCUCAGUCGUUAAGAGCAUUUGUUGCUCUUGCAAAGGACCUGGGUUCAAUUCCCAGACUCAUCU